GGAGGGAGUGUGCUUCCAAUCCAUGCGCCUUCAUCAAGUUUCACAGGACUUCCCAUCCUUGCAGUCAUUCAUCAGAAGGCUUUGACCUGCCUCCUUCAUGCUGCAGACAUGCUUAGAGCGGGUGUCUGGUCUACAUAAUCUCAAGGGACUCCUUCCAACCUAUGUAGUGUCGUGACUCUCUCUGUCUGAAGAUCCACAGAACUGAGAUGACCAAAAUCAUGAUCAUAUUUGUUUUCAUAACUUUGCACGUACCCCUUAUGUACUGGAAGGCUGCUUUAAGGUCUCCCUGGAACCUUCUCUUCUUAAAGAUGAACCAUCCCAACUCUAAGGCUAUCUUCACUGGAGAGGUGCCCUCUAAUCAUCCUUGUGAUCCUCCUCUGAAAUCACUCC
ensembl:lncRNA